rnacentral:lncRNA from 1 species
UGAAUGGUGGCAACGGCAGCAAAACCCCCAUGAUUCCAAGGCCAGGGGCGCUUGCCUUGUGGAAGCUGGGGAGGAAUUGUUACUUUAUAUGUGUUGUGUUGAUCACUUGAGGGAUACUUCUCCUGAGUGUCUCGGAGUCCUUCCAUACCAUCCAUUGUGGCGCACAGGACCCUCUGUCCCUUCUUCCCUUGCUUGGUGGCCAUGGUGGGUCUCAUCUGCCCUGUGCCCUGCUCUGGAUGCUGUGAGCGUAAUGCUGGCCAAGGAAGCAGAGGACAUAAGGGACAGAAACAGGCUCUUGGGGCUCAACUUUCUCCUUCUCUAUCAUCCUGGUCUUGGGCCUGGACAGCACCACCAGUGAGUGCUUGAGGCACCCACUGGGCUGCAGGCCUUGUCCCUUGGCCGUGCGCUGUGGCCUCCUCGGUGCCAUCUUACCCCUGCUGUGCUGCCCACUGUGGGGUAGGGGUUGGGCUCUCAAGCAACACGGACCCUUCUUCCCUCGCCCCCUCCCCCAAAGGGACGUGACUUUCUUUCUGGACUGUUUGUAUUGAAACAGAGUGGUGUCAAAUAAAGCCUCGACAGGGCCCUGGGCCA